GACGAACGCUGGCGGCGGGCUUAACACAUGCAAGUCGAACGGAAAGGCCCUGCUUUUGUGGGGUGCUCGAGGGGCGAACGGGUGAGUAACACGUGAGUAACCUGCCCUUGACUUUGGGAUAACUUCAGGAAACUGGGGCUAAUACCGGAUAGGAGCUCCUGCUGGAGGGUGGGGGUUGGAAAGUUUCGGCGGUUGGGGAUGGACUCGCGGCUUAUCAGCUUGUUGGUGGGGUAGGGGCUUACCAAGGCUUGGACGGGUAGCCGGCCUGAGAGGGUGACCGGCCACAUUGGGACUGAGAUACGGACCAGACUCCUACGGGAGGCAGCAGUGGGGAAUAUUGCACAAUGGGAGGAAGCCUGAUGCAGCAACGCCGCGUGCGGGAUGACGGCCUUCGGGUUGUAAACCGCUUUCGCCUGUGACGAAGCGUGAGUGACGGUAAUGGGUAAAGAAGCACCGGCUAACUACGUG
rnacentral:rRNA from 1 species